CUCAGGACGAACGCUGGCGGCGCGCCUAACACAUGCAACUCGAACGAGAGAUGAGGAGCUUGCUCUUCAAAUCGAGUGGCGAACGGGUGAGUAACGCGUGAGGAACCUGCCUCAAAGAGGGGGACAACAGUUGGAAACGACUGCUAAUACCGCAUAAGCCCACGGCUCGGCAUCGAGCAGAGGGAAAAGGAGCAAUCCGCUUUGAGAUGGCCUCGCGUCCGAUUAGCUAGUUGGUGAGGUAACGGCCCACCAAGGCGACGAUCGGUAGCCGGACUGAGAGGUUGAACGGCCACAUUGGGACUGAGACACGGCCCAGACUCCUACGGGAGGCAGCAGUGGGGAAUAUUGCACAAUGGGGGAAACCCUGAUGCAGCGACGCCGCGUGGAGGAAGAAGGUCUUCGGAUUGUAAACUCCUGUUGUUGAGGAAGAUAAUGACGGUACUCAACAAGGAAGUUGACGGCUAACUACGUGCCAGCAGCCGCGGUAAAACGUAGGUCACAAGCGUU
rnacentral:rRNA from 1 species